rnacentral:rRNA from 1 species
GACGAACGCUGGCGGCGUGCUUAACACAUGCAAGUCGAACGGAAAGGCCCUGCUUUUGUGGGGUGCUCGAGUGGCGAACGGGUGAGUAACACGUGAGUAACCUGCCCUUGACUUUGGGAUAACUUCAGGAAACUGGGGCUAAUACCGGAUAGGAGCUCCUGCUGCAUGGUGGGGGUUGGAAAGUUUCGGCGGUUGGGGAUGGACUCGCGGCUUAUCCGCUUGUUGGUGGGGUAGUGGCUUACCAAGGCUUUGACGGGUAGCCGGCCUGAGAGGGUGACCGGCCACAUUGCGACUGAGAUACGGCCCAGACGCCUACGGGACGCAGCAGUGGGGAAUAUUGCACAAUGGGCGGAAGCCUGAGGCAGCAACGCCGCGUGCGGGAUGACGUCCUGCGGGUUGUAAACCGCUGUCGCCUGGGACGAAGUGUGAGUGACGGUAAUGGGUAAAGAAGCACCGGCUAACUACGUG